rnacentral:rRNA from 2 species
UAAGCCAUGCGAGUCAAGGGGGCGUUCCUUUUGGAACGCCACCGGCGCACGGCUCAGUAACACGUGGCUAACCUACCCUCGGGUGGGGGAUAACCUCGGGAAACUGAGGCUAAUCCCCCAUAGGGGAGGAGGUCUGGAAUGAUCCCUCCCCGAAAGGGCCUUUAGGCCCGCCCGAGGAUGGGGCUGCGGGGGAUUAGGUAGUUGGUGGGGUAACGGCCCACCAAGCCUACGAUCCCUACGGGCCCUGAGAGGGGGAGCCCGGAGAUGGACACUGAGACACGGGUCCAGGCCCUACGGGGCGCAGCAGGCGCGAAACCUUGGCAAUGGGCGAAAGCCCGACCAGGGGACCCCGAGUGCCCUGGCUCUGCCAGGGCUUUUCCGGAGUGUUAACAGCUCCGGGAAUAAGGGCUGGGCAAGUCCGGUGCCAGCAGCCGCGGUAAGACCGGCGGCCCAAGUGGUGGCCACUGUUAUUGGGCCUAAAGCGUCCGUAGCCGGCCCAGUAAGUCCCUGCUUAAAUCCCACGGCUUAACCGUGGGGCUGGCGGGGAUACUGCUGGGCUUGGGACCGGGAGAGGCCGGGGGUACCCCAGGGGUAGCGGUGAAAUGCGUUGAUCCCUGGGGGACCACCUGUGGCGAAGGCGCCCGGCUGGAACGGGUCCGACGGUGAGGGACGAAGGCCGGGGGAGCAAACCGGAUUAGAUACCCGGGUAGUCCCGGCUGUAAACGCUGCGGACUAGGUGUCGCGUCAGCUUCGGGCUGGCGCGGUGCCGAAGGGAAGCCGUUAAGUCCGCCGCCUGGGGAGUACGGUCGCAAGACUGAAACUUAAAGGAAUUGGCGGGGGAGCACUACAACGGGUGGAGCCUGCGGUUUAAUUGGAUUCAACGCCGGGAAUCUCACCAGGGGCGACGGCAGGAUGAAGGCCAGGUUGACGACCUUGCCAGACGAGCCGAGAGGUGGUGCAUGGCCGUCGUCAGCUCGUACCGUGAGGCGUCCUGUUAAGUCAGGUAACGAGCGAGACCCGUGCCCCAUGUUGCCAUCUCCCCCUCCGGGGGGAGGGCACUCAUGGGGGACCGCCGGCGCAAAGCCGGAGGAAGGUGCGGGCAACGACAGGUCCGCAUGCCCCGAAUCCCCUGGGCUACACGCGGGCUACAAUGGCCGGGACAAUGGGACGCGACCCCGAAAGGGGGAGCGAAUCCCCUAAACCCGGCCUUAGUUCGGAUCGAGGGCUGUAACUCGCCCUCGUGAAGCCGGAAUCCGUAGUAAUCGCGCCUCACCAUGGCGCGGUGAAUGCGUCCCUGCUCCUUGCACACACCGCCCGUCACGCCACCCGAGUCGGGUCCAGGUGAGGCCCAUUCCGUUAAGGGGUGGGUCGAACCUGG